GUGCCAGCAGCCGCGGUAAUACGUAUGGGGCGAGCGUUGUUCGGAGUUAUUGGGCGUAAAGGGCGUGUAGGCGGCCCGAGAAGUCUGGUGUGAAAUCGCAGGGCUCAACCCUGCGGGUGCGCUGGAAACUGACGGGCUUGAGUCCCGGGGGGGAAGCUGGAAUUCCUGGUGUAGGAGUGAAAUCUGUAGAGAUCAGGAAGAACACCGGUGGCGAAGGCGAGCUUCUAUUCGAGGACUGACGCUGAGGCGCGAAAGCGUGGGGAGCAAACAGGAUUAGAUACCCUGGUAGUCCACGCUGUAAACGAUGUGCACUAGGCGUGGGGCACGUCGGUGCUCUGUGCCGUAGCUAACGCGAUAAGUGCACCGCCUGGGGAGUAUGCUCGCAAGGGUGAAACUUAAAUGAAUUGACGGGG
rnacentral:rRNA from 1 species